rnacentral:rRNA from 1 species
GAUGAACGCUGGCGGCGUGCCUAACACAUGCAAGUCGAGCGAACAGACGAGGAUUUUGCUCCGCUGACGUGAGCGGCGGACGGGUGAGUAACACGAGUAUACCUGGCCUAUAAGACUGGGAUCACGUCGGGAAACCGGAUCCAAUAUCGGAUAAGAUAUUGAACCGCAGGGUUCAUUAGUGAAAGACGGUUUUGCUGUCACUUAUAGAUGUUUCCGGGCCGCAUUAGCUAGUUGGUAGGGUAAAGGCUUACCAAGGCUACGAUGCGUAGCCGACCUGAGAGGGUGAUCGGCCACACUGGAACUGAGACACGGUCCAGGCUCCUACGGGAGGCAGCAGUAGGGAAUCUUCCGCAAUGGGCGAAAGCCUGACGGAGCCACGCCGCGUGUGUGAUGAAGGUCUUCGGAUCGUAAAGCUCUGUUAUUAGGGAAGAACAAAUGUGUAAGUAACCCUGCCCGUCUUGACGGUACCUAAUCAGAAAGCAACGGCUAACUACGUG